AGCGUACACGGUGGAUGCCCUGGCAGUCAGAGGCGAUGAAGGACGUGCUAAUCUGCGAUAAGCGUCGGUGAGGUGAUAUGAACCGUUAUAACCGGCGAUUUCCGAAUGGGGAAACCCAGUGUGUUUCGACACACUAUCAUUAACUGAAUCCAUAGGUUAAUGAGGCGAACCGGGGGAACUGAAACAUCUAAGUACCCCGAGGAAAAGAAAUCAACCGAGAUUCCCCCAGUAGCGGCGAGCGAACGGGGAGGAGCCCAGAGCCUGAAUCAGUGUGUGUGUUAGUGGAAGCGUCUGGAAAGGCGCGCGAUACAGGGUGACAGCCCCGUACACAAAAAUGCACAUAUUGUGAGCUCGAUGAGUAGGGCGGGACACGUGGUAUCCUGUCUGAAUAUGGGGGGACCAUCCUCCAAGGCUAAAUACUCCUGACUGACCGAUAGUGAACCAGUACCGUGAGGGAAAGGCGAAAAGAACCCCGGCGAGGGGAGUGAAAAAGAACCUGAAACCGUGUACGUACAAGCAGUGGGAGCCUCUUUAUGGGGUGACUGCGUACCUUUUGUAUAAUGGGUCAGCGACUUAUAUUCUGUAGCAAGGUUAACCGAAUAGGGGAGCCGAAGGGAAACCGAGUCUUAACUGGGCGUUAAGUUGCAGGGUAUAGACCCGAAACCCGGUGAUCUAGCCAUGGGCAGGUUGAAGGUUGGGUAACACUAACUGGAGGACCGAACCGACUAAUGUUGAAAAAUUAGCGGAUGACUUGUGGCUGGGGGUGAAAGGCCAAUCAAACCGGGAGAUAGCUGGUUCUCCCCGAAAGCUAUUUAGGUAGCGCCUCGUGAAUUCAUCUCCGGGGGUAGAGCACUGUUUCGGCAAGGGGGUCAUCCCGACUUACCAACCCGAUGCAAACUGCGAAUACCGGAGAAUGUUAUCACGGGAGACACACGGCGGGUGCUAACGUCCGUCGUGAAGAGGGAAACAACCCAGACCGCCAGCUAAGGUCCCAAAGUCAUGGUUAAGUGGGAAACGAUGUGGGAAGGCCCAGACAGCAGGAUGUUGGCUUAGAAGCAGCCAUCAUUUAAAGAAAGCGUAAUAGCUCACUGGUCGAGUCGGCCUGCGCGGAAGAUGUAACGGGGCUAAACCAUGCACCGAAGCUGCGGCAGCGACACUAUGUGUUGUUGGGUAGGGGAGCGUUCUGUAAGCCUGUGAAGGUGGCCUGUGAGGGUUGCUGGAGGUAUCAGAAGUGCGAAUGCUGACAUAAGUAACGAUAAAGCGGGUGAAAAGCCCGCUCGCCGGAAGACCAAGGGUUCCUGUCCAACGUUAAUCGGGGCAGGGUGAGUCGACCCCUAAGGCGAGGCCGAAAGGCGUAGUCGAUGGGAAACAGGUUAAUAUUCCUGUACUUGGUGUUACUGCGAAGGGGGGACGGAGAAGGCUAUGUUGGCCGGGCGACGGUUGUCCCGGUUUAAGCGUGUAGGCUGGUUUUCCAGGCAAAUCCGGAAAACCAAGGCUGAGGCGUGAUGACGAGGCACUACGGUGCUGAAGCGACAAAUGCCCUGCUUCCAGGAAAAGCCUCUAAGCAUCAGGUAACAUCAAAUCGUACCCCAAACCGACACAGGUGGUCAGGUAGAGAAUACCAAGGCGCUUGAGAGAACUCGGGUGAAGGAACUAGGCAAAAUGGUGCCGUAACUUCGGGAGAAGGCACGCUGAUAUGUAGGUGAAGCGACUUGCUCGUGGAGCUGAAAUCAGUCGAAGAUACCAGCUGGCUGCAACUGUUUAUUAAAAACACAGCACUGUGCAAACACGAAAGUGGACGUAUACGGUGUGACGCCUGCCCGGUGCCGGAAGGUUAAUUGAUGGGGUUAGCGGUAACGCGAAGCUCUUGAUCGAAGCCCCGGUAAACGGCGGCCGUAACUAUAACGGUCCUAAGGUAGCGAAAUUCCUUGUCGGGUAAGUUCCGACCUGCACGAAUGGCGUAAUGAUGGCCAGGCUGUCUCCACCCGAGACUCAGUGAAAUUGAACUCGCUGUGAAGAUGCAGUGUACCCGCGGCAAGACGGAAAGACCCCGUGAACCUUUACUAUAGCUUGACACUGAACAUUGAGCCUUGAUGUGUAGGAUAGGUGGGAGGCUUUGAAGUGUGGACGCCAGUCUGCAUGGAGCCGACCUUGAAAUACCACCCUUUAAUGUUUGAUGUUCUAACGUUGGCCCGUAAUCCGGGUUGCGGACAGUGUCUGGUGGGUAGUUUGACUGGGGCGGUCUCCUCCUAAAGAGUAACGGAGGAGCACGAAGGUUGGCUAAUCCUGGUCGGACAUCAGGAGGUUAGUGCAAUGGCAUAAGCCAGCUUGACUGCGAGCGUGACGGCGCGAGCAGGUGCGAAAGCAGGUCAUAGUGAUCCGGUGGUUCUGAAUGGAAGGGCCAUCGCUCAACGGAUAAAAGGUACUCCGGGGAUAACAGGCUGAUACCGCCCAAGAGUUCAUAUCGACGGCGGUGUUUGGCACCUCGAUGUCGGCUCAUCACAUCCUGGGGCUGAAGUAGGUCCCAAGGGUAUGGCUGUUCGCCAUUUAAAGUGGUACGCGAGCUGGGUUUAGAACGUCGUGAGACAGUUCGGUCCCUAUCUGCCGUGGGCGCUGGAGAACUGAGGGGGGCUGCUCCUAGUACGAGAGGACCGGAGUGGACGCAUCACUGGUGUUCGGGUUGUCAUGCCAAUGGCACUGCCCGGUAGCUAAAUGCGGAAGAGAUAAGUGCUGAAAGCAUCUAAGCACGAAACUUGCCCCGAGAUGAGUUCU
rnacentral:rRNA from 1 species